rnacentral:lncRNA from 1 species
GCAACUUGAUUUUCUUGAACACUUUUCUCUCUCAUUUUUUCUCCUUUUUUUCCAUUUGAAAAUCAUAGCUAAAGACGAGGAAUGUGCAAGAUGGAGAAAGUCAUGCAGAGAUACAGGAUUUUGCCUUUGAACUGAAAAAUUGUUCUUUUCACCUCCUCGUGUUUACAUCACUUCUCCCAGCCCUGGACAUGAGCCUUCUCCAUGGGAAGAGUUUGAGUUUGAUUCAGAAACCAGAGACAAGGAGUGGAAAUGAAAAGAGGGAGGAACAGACAGGGGAAAAAAAGAGCAGAUGCGGAAAAAAAGGGAACAAGAGAGCUCCAUUCUCCCUGGACCUUCAGAGUGCAGCCCUGUCCUAGAGAGGUGUCAGGAACUUAGCCACCAGCUUCUGAAGGUACUUGACAAUUAUCUGUGGAAGAAACCUAAUUAAUGAUAACUGUCAAGAAUCAAAGAAACCUGCCUGUGCAUAUUGACCUGUAACAAG